CAGUAGCCACGGGAAUACGUAGGGUGCAAGCGUUAAUCGGAAUUACUGGGCGUAAAGCGUGCGCAGGCGGUUAUAUAAGUCAGAUGUGAAAUCCCCGGGCUCAACCUGGGAACUGCAUUUGAGACUGUAUGGCUAGAGUGUGUCAGAGGGGGGUAGAAUUCCACGUGUAGCAGUGAAAUGCGUAGAUAUGUGGAGGAAUACCGAUGGCGAAGGCAGCCCCCUGGGAUAACACUGACGCUCAUGCACGAAAGCGUGGGGAGCAAACAGGAUUAGAUACCCGGGUAGUCCCUGUCUCUUAUAC
rnacentral:rRNA from 1 species